UACGAAGGGGGCUAGCGUUGUUCGGAAUCACUGGGCGUAAAGCGCACGUAGGCGGAUGUGCCAGUCAGGGGUGAAAUCCCGGAGCUCAACUUCGGAACUGCCUCUGAUACAGCACGUCUCGAGUCCGAUAGAGGUGGGUGGAAUUCCUAGUGUAGAGGUGAAAUUCGUAGAUAUUAGGAAGAACACCGGUGGCGAAGGCGGCAUCCUGGACCGGUAUUGACGCUGAGGCGCGAAAGCCAGGGGAGCAAAGCGGGAUU
rnacentral:rRNA from 1 species